UACGUAGGGGGCGAGCGUUGUCCGGAUUUAUUGGGCGUAAAGAGCGUGUAGGCGGCCAUGCAGGUCAGCUGUGAAAACUCGAGGCUCAACCUCGAGACGUCGGUUGAAACCGUAUGGCUAGAGUCCGGAAGAGGAGAGUGGAAUUCCCGGUGUAGCGGUGAAAUGCGCAGAUAUCGGGAAGAACACCAGUGGCGAAGGCGGCUCUCUGGGACGGUACUGACGCUGAGACGCGAAAGCGUGGGGAGCGAACAGG
rnacentral:rRNA from 1 species